AUGCACGCUGGCGGCGUGCCUAAUACAUGCACGUCGAGCGAACGGACGAGAAGCUUGCUUCUCUGAUGUUAGCGGCGGACGGGUGAGUAACACGUGGAUAACCUACCUAUAAGACUGGGAUAACUUCGGGAAACCGGAGCUAAUACCGGAUAAUAUUUUGAACCGCAUGGUUCAAAAGUGAAAGACGGUCUUGCUGUCACUUAUAGAUGGAUCCGCGCUGCAUUAGCUAGUUGGUAAGGUAACGGCUUACCAAGGCAACGAUGCAUAGCCGACCUGAGAGGGUGAUCGGCCACACUGGAACUGAGACACGGUCCAGACUCCUACGGGAGGCAGCAGUAGGGAAUCUUCCGCAAUGGGCGAAAGCCUGACGGAGCAACGCCGCGUGAGUGAUGAAGGUCUUCGGAUCGUAAAACUCUGUUAUUAGGGAAGAACAUAUGUGUAAGUAACUGUGCACAUCUUGACGGUACCUAAUCAGAAAGCCACGGCUAACUACGU
rnacentral:rRNA from 1 species